UGGGAAGCAGCCAUGCAGAUGCCUGAACUC
rnacentral:piRNA from 1 species